rnacentral:rRNA from 1 species
GAUGAACGCUGGCGGCGUGCCUAAUACAUGCAAGUCGAGCGAAGCGGGGACGGGUGAGUAACAUGUGGAAAACCUCCUAUGAAGCGGGGUAAACUUUGGGAACCCGAAGCUAUACCGGUAACUUAUAGAUGGAUACGCGCUGCAUUAGCUAGUUGGGAAGGUAACGGCUUACCAAGCCAACGAUGCAUAGCCGACCUGAGAGGGUGAUCGGCCACACUGGAACUGAGACACGGUCCAGACUCCUACGGGAGGCAGCAGUAGGGAAUCUUGCGCAAUGGGCGAAAGCCUGACGGAGCAAUGCCGCGUGAGUGAAGAAGGUCUUCGGAUUGUAAAACUCUGUUAGUAGGGAAGCGGUACCUAAUCAGAAAGCCACGGCUAACUACGUGCCAGCAGCCGCGGUAAUUC